rnacentral:rRNA from 1 species
AGUAACGCGUGGGAAACCUGCCCUUCACAGAGGGACAGCCGAGGGAAACUUCGAUUAAUACCUCAUAACGCAUCGAGGUCGCAUGGCCAUGAUGCCAAAGAUUUAUCGGUGAAGGAUGGUCCCGCGUCUGAUUAGCUAGUUGGUGAGGCAGCGGCUCACCAAGGCGACGAUCAGUAGCCGGCCUGAGAGGGUGAACGGCCACAUUGGAGCUGGGACGCGGUCCAGACUCCUACGGGAGGCAGCAGUGGGGAAUAU